rnacentral:rRNA from 1 species
UACGGGGGGGGUAAGCGUUGUUCGGAAUUACUGGGCGUAAAGGGCUCGUAGGCGGCCAACUAAGUCAUACGUGAAAUCCCUCAGCUUAACUGGGGAACUGCGUCUGAGACUGAUUGGCUCGAGGACAGGAGAGGAACGCGGAAUUCCAGGUGUAGCGGUGAAAUGCGUAGAUAUCUGGAGGAACACCGGUGGCGAAGGCGGCGUUCUGGACUGUUUCUGACACUGAAUAACGAAAGCCAGGGGAGCAAACGGG